AGUUUCUCCAUUUGCCGAUCGCAUCCAGGGCACUUGAAAUUUUCCGGAAUUCUCCCACUGGUGUGUGGAAAUUCGAACCGGCAACAAGGAUGAGUAAUUCCUUGAAGUUCGUCGUGGUGAUUCUUGAAAGCUAUGUCGAAACCCUUAUCGGUGGCUUCUUGUUUCCAUGAAUCGAAACUCCCCAGGGUGGGCAACAUGGUGGUGCUGUGCCCAUUCAGGAUCACGUUUGAUCCUUUGCUCAGAACUGCCCAUCCUCCUUCUUUGUCGUAGCUGAGGAGUUUUUUUAUUUCUUGCAUCAGAGGAUCGCAAUCGUCGGCUUUUCCUAAUUGAAUCUUAGAGUAAAGCAUGCUCUCGAUUCUAGUCCAGAAGAACCAAAUCAUGGCAGAAUGCUUAUAUCAUCACAUUCUAUCAACUCAUUGGAUGAACUACUUGUUGAAAAGGAUUAGUUCCAUACCGUGGCAUCAGCCGCUAAGGUGGCACGUUUCAGGAUGUUUUCAACCAGGCGUAGAAGCGAUCUUGUGUCAACAUCUCGAUCAUCAGGAUCAUGGGUGGCUAGAAUUUGCUUCAUCAUCACAUUGUCGUCAGAAAUGGCGGACAAGAACUUGUUACCCUUGGCCAAUUGAUGUCGAGAGGCGAGCGAGAACUUAUUACCACUGUCCAUUGUUAUACAACACAAAUGUAGGGAAGUCACAGCAGGUUGUGUGGAAUGGGAAUGUAUGGAAGAUGAAUUGCCAAAUUUAUAGCCUCAAGAAGGAGCAAAGUUUCUGUUGAAUCAACUUUUUUUCUUUCUCUUUUUGGUUAAAUUUCUUCUAUGUCAAGACGCCUUUGUUUGUGGACCCUUUAACUUACAGUUUACAUUUCAUUUUUGUCUGCAGGAUCAGAAUAUUUAUCUGGGUCUUACGUGUUCUGAUUGGUAGAAUCGAAAAUGGAAAGGCAGUAAGAUUCAAAACCAAAACUCUAAUUCAUUAGCAUUUAGGAUUUCAGAUCGUAUCUGGUUUAUGCUUCUGCUUGCUUAGUUUGUUAUGUUGAAUUUGCCUGAUGUUUAGUGAUUUAUGGAUCCUAUAUGGUUUUGUGAUGAUGUCUUUUAGUUUAUUUGAAUCUUCUACUUAGAAAAAUCUAUUAAAACAAUAUUUUAAA